UUAGCUUGCUAAGGCUGAUGGCGACCGGCGCACGGGUGAGUAACACGUAUCCAACCUGCCGUCUACUCUUGGACAGCCUUCUGAAAGGAAGAUUAAUACAAGAUGGCAUCAUGAGUCCGCAUGUUCACAUGAUUAAAGGUAUUCCGGUAGACGAUGGGGAUGCGUUCCAUUAGAUAGUAGGCGGGGUAACGGCCCACCUAGUCAACGAUGGAUAGGGGUUCUGAGAGGAAGGUCCCCCACAUUGGAACUGAGACACGGUCCAAACUCCUACGGGAGGCAGCAGUGAGGAAUAUUGGUCAAUGGGCGAGAGCCUGAACCAGCCAAGUAGCGUGAAGGAUGACUGCCCUAUGGGUUGUAAACUUCUUUUAUAAAGGAAUAAAGUCGGGUAUGGAUACCCGUUUGCAUGUACUUUAUGAAUAAGGAUCGGCUAACUCCGUGCCAGCAGCCGCGGUAAUACGGAGGAUCCGAGCGUUAUCCGGAUUUAUUGGGUUUAAAGGGAGCGUAGAUGGAUGUUUAAGUCAGUUGUGAAAGUUUGCGGCUCAACCGUAAAAUUGCAGUUGAUACUGGAUAUCUUGAGUGCAGUUGAGGCAGGCGGAAUUCGUGGUGUAGCGGUGAAAUGCUUAGAUAUCACGAAGAACUCCGAUUGCGAAGGCAGCCUGCUAAGCUGCAACUGACAUUGAGGCUCGAAAGUGUGGGUAUCAAACAGGAUUAGAUACCCUGGUAGUCCACACGGUAAACGAUGAAUACUCGCUGUUUGCGAUAUACGGCAAGCGGCCAAGCGAAAGCGUUAAGUAUUCCACCUGGGGAGUACGCCGGCAACGGUGAAACUCAAAGGAAUUGACGGGGGCCCGCACAAGCGGAGGAACAUGUGGUUUAAUUCGAUGAUACGCGAGGAACCUUACCCGGGCUUAAAUUGCAGAUGAAUUACGGUGAAAGCCGUAAGCCGCAAGGCAUCU
rnacentral:rRNA from 1 species